rnacentral:rRNA from 1 species
GUAGUCUCGCACAGAUGCAUAUCAAUAAGCGGAGGAAAAGAAACUAACAAGGAUUCCCCUAGUAACGGCGAGUGAAGCGGGAAGAGCUCAAAUUUGAAAUCUUAAAGGGUUUCCCUUUACGAAUUGUAGUUUAAAGAAGUGUUUUCUGUUGAGGUUUUGGUAAAAGUUCUUUGGAACAGGACAUCAUAGAGGGUGAGAAUCCCGUAUUUGACCUUUACUUUCAACUUUGUGAUACACUUUCAAAGAGUCGGAUUGUUUGGGAGUGCAGUCCAAAAUGGGUGGUAAAUUUCAUCUAAAGCUAAAUAUUGGCGAGAGACCGAUAGCGAACAAGUACCGUGAGGGAAAGAUGAAAAGAACUUUGAAAAGAGAGUUAAACAGUACGUGAAAUUGUCAAAAGGGAAGCGUUUGACACCAGUGUUGUUUUUCUGAAAAUCAAUUAAAGAACUGUUUAUGCUAAGCUGUUUAGACUUUAUCAGCUAACUGUUUAGUUUUGAGCUUUUCUUUAAUGCACUUUUCAGUUAACAAGUCAACAUCAAUUUCUUUUGCUGUAAAAAAGCUUGAGGAAGGUGGCUUGAGAUUCGUCUUAAGUGUUUAUAGCCUCUUGCCUAUGCAGUCGGAGAGAUUGAGGUCUGCAGCGUAGAUCCUUCGGGGCUAAAUGCAUUUGUGCUAAGUUAUAGCAUUUUAUAGACAACUUGUUGACUAUGAUUUGUCUUGUAGCUUACUCGCUUAUGUUAUUUUACCUACGCUUAGGAUGUGAGUAGCGACAUACGCAC